rnacentral:rRNA from 1 species
GUUUGCUAAUCAACCAAAUACUCUUCAUACCAAUAUGAAAGAUGAUUUUGCGCAAAUUGCUUCAACAGGUAUUCAUCUAGAUGACCAACUGGAGCAAUUUUUGAUAGAUCAUGAGAGUCUUAUUAAUGAUAAAUAUAGGAGACAAAUUGAUGAAAAUUUUCACUUUCAACCACCACUCUUGAAAGUUAAUAUUCCACCUGAUAGUUUGGGGAAGCCAACUCCUCGAAAGGGAGACCUGGUGUUUGAUUUAACACCUCUACCCAAAAAAAACUUAGAUGUACUUAUCUAGAUGAAAAGAAAGUCUAUCCUAUUAUUAUCAAUGCUACCUGUGAAGUGUGAAUUGUUGGAAAUAUUCUACCUGAUACUUUGGGGAAGCCACCACGUCCUCCAAAUGGAGAGUCGAUGUUUGAUUUAACACCUCCACCAAAAACAGUUAGAUAUACUUAUCUGGAUGAAAAGAAAGUCUAUCAUGUUAUUAUCAAUGCUACCUGUGAAUUGUUGGAAAUAUGCCCUAGAGGCAAUAAUAAUUGUAUUAUUUAUUUCCAAAUAUAUGAUUAAUGUCUAUGUUCUAUGUUAU